CAGUAGCCGCGGUAAUACGUAGGGUGCAAGCGUUAAUCGGAAUUACUGGGCGUAAAGCGUGCGCAGGCGGUUAUAUAAGACAGAUGUGAAAUCCCCGGGCUCAACCUGGGAACUGCAUUUGUGACUGUAUAGCUAGAGUACGGCAGAGGGGGAUGGAAUUCCGCGUGUAGCAGUGAAAUGCGUAGAUAUGCGGAGGAACACCGAUGGCGAAGGCAAUCCCCUGGGCCUGCACUGACGCUCAUGCACGAAAGCGUGGGGAGCAAACAGGAUUAGAUAACCCGGUAGUCCCUGUCUCUUAUAC
rnacentral:rRNA from 1 species